rnacentral:rRNA from 1 species
GGACCCGCACAAGCGGUGGAGCAUGUGGUUUAAUUCGAAGCAACGCGAAGAACCUUACCAAAUCUUGACAUCCCUCUGACAGACUAUGUAAUGUAGUUUCUCUUCGGAGCAGAGGUGACAGGUGGUGCAUGGUUGUCGUCAGCUCGUGUCGUGAGAUGUUGGGUUAAGUCCCGCAACGAGCGCAACCCUUGUCUUUAGUAGCCAGCAUUUCGGAUGGGAACUCUAGAGAGACUGCCAGGGAUAACCUGGAGGAAGGUGGGGAUGACGUCAAAUCAUCAUGCCCCUUAUGAUUUGGGCUACACACGUGCUACAAUGGCGUAAACAAAGGGAAGCGACCCCGUGAGGGUGAGCAAAUCCCAAAAAUAACGUCUCAGUUCGGAUUGUAGUCUGCAACUCGACUACAUGAAGCUGGAAUCGCUAGUAAUCGCGAAUCAGAAUGUCGCGGUGAAUACGUUCCCGGGUCUU